GGUGAAUGCUGUACCCUCUCUAUAAUGAGUUAAGCAAGAAAUAGCCCGUUUAUAACCUCUCCUGGACCAUGAGCAAUUUCGUUUGGAUGCAGAGCGAUAGAACACCGGUACUGUGAUCUUAAUGCUUGACGGUGAUGGCUGGUAAUCUAAGUGUUGCGUAACUUCUUGGCGAUGUACUGCACCCUGCUGUACACGGCGGUGCCAAGGCGAGUACGAGAGGAGGACGACAAUCUAUACCCGGCGAUUCUGGACAAGUUGUCAUGUAGAGUCUCAAAUAAUUGACUGGGAUUGCGAAGUUUCCUCCAUUCCCAAAGAGCCUCUCCGUUCAGUUGCACAUAGAACAAGGCAUUGUAGCCGUUCAAUAAUGGCACAGACAUGAAUAAGAAAGCAGGGUUAAUCGGGGAUUCUACGAGCUCUGAAGAGAGCUCCCGAUCAACGCGUUGCAUUUCUUGCACGGAGCACAUUUUCAAUGAGUCACAGAACUUGAACUUUUCUCAAGCGUUUUUGCAGCACAUUUGCUGUGGCUGGUGAUGGUGUUUAUCUAAAUUAGAUCUCAAUGGGCGACAAUAAUAUGAGUCGAUAAGGCGUUGUCAAUGGUUACGCUUAAACAAACCUGUCGGUUUUAACCAUGUUUAUUAAACAUGUUAUGAAAAGUU